CAACACAAUAUGCUACAACCUAGAAAAGGGAUGCCGUAAUCUAGUUGCAAAAUAUUUGAAGGUAAGUGAAUGACGAUUCACUAAUUUCCACCAUGAAAAACGAAAAAGAAAUUUAAGUUUUAAAUCUAUGAAAACUCCUAGAUCCUUUGAGAUUCAUUGAACAUUUCAAUGGCAUGUUUAAAUCUCGAUAUGCCCCUCUAGUUUGUGACUGGGAUGCCGAGGAUCACAAAGCGGGUGUGAAUAACCACGCAAACUUACAUGGUGCCCUCACAUGUUACAGUCACCUAUUCGAUGUGUCGGUAAACCACACACGCUCCACCGAACUAUGACAAACAUUGAGUCACCCUUUGCUACCUUUGCUUAGAACCAUUUAGUGUGCCGGUUAACCACACACGCUCCACUAACGUCUUUGCAAGGGCACAAAGUGUAAUUUCAUGGAAUUGCAUCAAUUCACUUUUGCCUAAGUAACUAAGAUUGGGAAUUUUUAAAACAUUUAGUUACUUUUGUACUUCAUUAUACUUAUAAUGGAAGGUUUUGUCCUAUCCUACCCGUUCGGCUAACGACCCUCCACUAGUCAAGAGUGCGGUGGGUAAGAGUGGAUACCCAUUCAAUCGCCAUUUUAUAGGCAAUUUCCUUAAACACCCCUUAUAGACUAGCUUCGUGAAUGAGGCCUACUAACGGUAAGACUGACUUUUACUCAUACAUAUAUAUAAUGUUAGACUUUUAAUGUUAUAUAUAGUAUAGGGUGUAUUUUAUACUUUCAAAAUACUAGGUGGUCUAAUUUAACAAUUAUACUUUUAAUUCAAUUAAAUUGUAAACCUAAACUUUUAUGGAUUUAUUAAACCUCUUUUAAUUAUACACCUUAAUUAAUUAAUAAAACCAUAAGGGUGUGAUUUGAACUUUUUCAAAACUAUACUAGAGUUUUAGAAUUUAACAUUCCUAAUUAAACUUUUAAUCAACUUUUAAAUUCCAAAACUUGAGGGCAAGUUUUGAAACAUUUCAACACAUUAGGGUUUAGAAUUUAAAUAUACAUCAAAAUUAAACCAUUUAAUCAAAAUUUAAAUUCCAAAACUUGAGGGCAAGUUUUGAAACCUUUUUCAAAACAUUAGGGUUUUAACUAUUUAAAUUUCAAAACAACAAAACUUUUGGGUUCAAAUUUAAACUAUAAAACCUAAAGGGCAAAAUAUGAAACUUUUCAUAACAACAAGGAUCAAAUAACAAAUAAUUUAAAUUAACAUUUAAUCACAUAAUUAUCCAUAUUUGAUUUGUUUAAUGAUUUCUUGCAAAACAAUUUAUCAAUUUAGUCAAAAUAAUUAAUCAAUUAUCUUAUAAGGAAACAAUUAUCUUAUUAAUUGAUAAAUAUCUUCAAUUAGAUCAAAAUUAUAGUCAAAUAUAUCAUAUAAUCGGAUUAAUAUUGAUCUAACAUGAUAAGGUAACUAUCCCAAUGCAAAAACAGCAAGAAAUCCCGAGAUAUCCUCCAUCUGACGAGUUGACUCGUCGAGUCAAGCAUGGACUCGUCGAGUCUGCAUGGACUCGGCGAGUCCAGCCUCCAGAAACCAAAAAUUCGAAUUUUUCAAACAUAUCAAGCAUCAAUACAAUAGAAACCAAUCUAGGCUCUGAUACCACUGAUGGGUUUUGGUCAUAAGACAUCCUAUGUGCUCAUACAAACCCUAAUGCUUGGAUCUAGGUUUCUCUAUUGUACAUGCUUUGAAUCCAAGACUAUAAACCCUAAUUCUAGCAUAUGGAAAUCAAUAUUAACAUAUAAUUAGGUUUAAGAUAUUACCUUGAUUGUUAUGUAGCAAUAACAAUCCCAAUUCCUCCUUGAAUUGACUUUGGAAGGCUUAGAGUCACAAGUGUCACUCCUCUAAUGGCUCACAAACACCAUAAGCAAGAGGAUGAAGAGGAGAGAGGAUGGAGGCUGCCCAAAACGUGUUCUAACCCUAGAAAAGAAGUUCCCCACGUUUUUGAGCCUUAAGGGUUCUAUAUAUAGUGAGGCUAUUAGGGUUAUCUAACAAGGAAACCCUAAUUUGGAUGCUUAAGCCCUAAGCAACCCAUGGAGCCCUUUCCUUAAGGCCUUGGACGAUUUCAUAUGGGCUUCCCCCAUAGAAUUCGUCCACCUUAUAAUAUAAGGCAAUCCAUGGCCCAAAUUGCAAUUAUCUUAUAAUUACAAUUCCAGUCCCUUAAGUUUAAUUAAUCUCUUUUAGUCACAAAACUAAUUACCAAUUAAUUCUUGACUAAUAUUAAUUAAACAAUAUGAUUUCUCCUUUAAUAUAUUAUUCUCAUAAUAUAUUAAUAAAUCAUAUUUAAUCCUUUCUCUCCAUAAUUCAUCCUAUCAAGUUGCUUUGGUGAAGGCAACCCAAAAGGACCAUGCACCAUCGGGUCAAGUACAUACCAAAAUAGUUAUGGACUUAGACACUAAUCCAACAGUCUCCCACUUGGAUAAGUCUAAUAACUAUUAUGCGUAUGACUUCAGAUCCUGAUCUGCAAUCGUAGCUUUCCAAAGCCGCUGUCAACUCUGAUCCUAUCAGAUACGCGUGUCCUUAGAUAAGGGAUCAUAUAUUCCUCCAUUCUAGAUAUCAUAUGAGAUAUGAUUUCAAAUCAUUCUCUUUGUACUAUAUCUCGAUUUCCGAUUUAUGACGACUGACUAAUUGAACAAAUCAAAUUAGCCCUAGCCCGGCCGAGCAUUUACGUUUGUCAUCACUAAAUCAUCGAGGGGCCCAAAGAUAUCGCUUUUAUCCUACUUUGGAUAAAAGGAACGGAUAAACUUUGAUACAAUGCUUGCUUGCACUCACUCACCGAAUCACACACAACAAUAUGUUUUAUAACACCAAGUUACUAGUGCGUUUACAUAUUAUCAAUGUGCAACCGAUUUGCAAGAUACAACUCACACAUCUCGGUUUCAAGAAUAUAAGAUGUUAUCGUCUCACCAAUCACUCGUGAUACAAUUCAUGGAGUGAUCCAAGUGAGCGUGGGUUUAAUCCAAUGCUCAAAUCAUAUUCAUAAGCACUCAUGAACGUUGCAGCAAACAUUUGCUUAUGUCUAAUACUCUUUAGACAAUCCACACACCAAUUCACGACAGUCUUCAUUCAUACCUACUUCCAACAUAUGAACGACUGUGGCCCGUUCGAAUAAUUUGACUGUUCUAAACCAAUUAAAUUAUUCAGGAAGUCAAAACAUGCAAAGUGAAACACAAGAAUAAUACUAAUCCCAUAUGGCCUCAAACCUUUGAGUAUAAAUAAAACACCUUUUAUUUAUCACCAUAUCGAUUACUCAUUAUUUGUCGUUUCGGGUAAUCAACUUCUUACUUGUAUUACUACACUUGUCCCAUGCUCUUAGCAUGCACACAAUGUUUACCUAUGGUUCUUACUUUGUGAAAUAGAUCAAAUGAACACAUUUCCAAUCAUACUCAUUUCACAACUCCAAAUCCUUUUUCAUAAGUGAAAGAAUAUCAAAUUCUUGCCACUUAUAGAAUAUGCUAGAUUCUAACAUUUUAUGCAAUGAUCCUUUCGUAAUGUCACUGCACCAAAGUCACAAAGACUAUUGCCAAUGAUAUUACAAAGUCCUCUAUUGGAGAUUGUUACAAGACAAUUCCUUAGAUAUGAUGUCUCUCACUCAAAGUACAUUCCUUUGAACAUCCUUUUGCAUAAAAGUUUCUAAUCUAGUCAUAGAUUUUCAAUAUUCAAUUCCCAAUAUGGAAACGUUUCCAUAUUUUCCAUAUGACAACUCAUUCUUAAUAGAAUCUUAUCUAUUCAUAAUAAUGUCGAUAUGGUCCAUCCAAUACUAUACUUCCAACUACUCACAAGCGACCAAUCCUCGGCGAACUUUGGAUUGUCCUUUGAUAGUUGUUUAAUUAUCUUAGUCAAAACCGAUUCUUGUCCUUUUUCCCUCUAAAUGCGCUAGACAUUUGGAAAAUUUUAGAAUGGUCAAAUAUUAUAGCAUUUGCAAUCGAUCCUAUACCCGAAGCGUAUGGGACACGAUGCAUAAUGUCUUACAUAAAGAUUUGAUACUUUAUCAAUCUUCUGCCAUAAUAUUUUAUGUGUCACGUUCUCACAAUUCGAACUAUGAAGAGGAAUGCCGUAAUCAUAAUCGAAAUUUGAGAACACACUAUGUAUCCUUGACUAAAUUUAUUAACAUUCCACAACCUAAGCCUUUAGAUUUGAAAUGAAGCAUAAUAUUCUCUCCCUUAAUUAUAGCAAAACAACUAUUCAACCCUUACAACUUUGCAAAGUAUGACUCUUGUUUUCUAUAAUUAAUAUUGCUAACUUGCAAUACUUGCCUUAAUAAUCAUACAAUCAUAACAUUUAUGCUCCCACUAUCAUGAUGAUUAUUAUAAAACAUAACACUUAUGCUCCCACUAGCUUCGACAUGUAUUCAUAAACAUCUUAACUUUCAGAAAAACAAUACUUAUUGAAUUUCUUAAGUUCAUGUUUCUAAUACCCAAUGCUUUGAUAAUCUUUUAUCAAGGCUUCUUAAACUUAUACACCUUUGCCUUAGAUAGCUCAUAUGUGUGUCUAAACAAUUCAGACUAAUUGCCAAAUCUCACAAUUCGAAUCAUGGAAAGGGAUACCGUAACCAUAAUCGAAUUCGAGAAUACAAUUUUCACAAUCACUAUCUUCUUAAAAUCUCUCUUAGUGAAAGCAUUUCCUCACAGUCAUUUUCAUGAAGGAGGGAAUCUUAUGACACUUAGAUUUUAAUGGUGUAUGUGUUCCUAUCCAUGUGAAUUUGUCAAAACCAAAGUUUACGACAAAUUCAAACUCAUAUGGACCGAACUUUCUUAAUCUUGAUUUCUUGCCUUAUGGUAGCAUAGCUACCCACCAUGUCUUCCAAGUGGUUAAGCAGUUCACCUUUUCCUAUCAAUGUGUUUUUCAUUGAUCAAGGUCCUUGCCUUUGAUGAAUUCAAAUGAGAACUCAUAGAACUCACAUGCAUAAUUAACUUAACUGGAACGGCACAGAAACAAAAUAAUGUCAACACGAUAGGUUGUAAACCUCAACUCGUGUGCUAGUGAUGAUCGAUAAGGUCUAUUUUGAUUUGUUCUUGAAACCUUUCAAGACCAUUAAGACUCCCACUGACUCCUUGACAUAUAAGAUUCUCUUGUCAAUAAACAUUUCUUGACAAACAAAUAUUCAAGAGUUAGUGUAGUUUUUAUCAAAACACUUCAUAAAUUGGUCCUAGUUGGUCUUUGUCUUAUCCAAGACAUCACAACUUUCCACAUUUGAUGAAUGUUAUAAACCUUUCUAAUACUUGUCACUCAAUGUCACAAUCUUAACUCUAAGACUUGCUUUGGAACGAAGUAUGAUUGACUUCUUGAUUUAACCAUUUCUUCAAUUCUUGAUUCCUCUUCUUAGACAUACAAUUGUACUAAGACUCACUUAGAGGAUCAAUUGAGAUAUGGUUCUUAAUCAUUAAGACCUAUCAUAAAGCAUAAAAGGUACUCUCCCUUCUUCUUAGAAUGGAGAAACUUUUACCUAUCAUAAAGAAUAAAAGGUACUCUCCCUUCAUUCUGCUAUUGAUCUAAACCCUUUAAUCAAUUCAGAAUUACACCUAAUCUUGUAAGUAUAACCAUAUUUACUAAAACUUUAGUAAAUCAUGAUGAAUAUCUUUGUUACUCUUAUGGUGAACUUGAUCAACACGCAACUUUGUGUAUUCGAUCUCCAAGUCCUUUACUUGACACUUUGUCAAUGAAUUAGUCUAAUUUCCAAAUAUGAAAUUUCUCAUUCAUCGUGCAACCAAGUUGCAUGAUUCCAAGUUUCUGUCCAAUUGAAACUUGGGCGAUGAGAAACUUUCCCUAUUCGGUAAAUUUCCGACAUUUUCACAAAUAACAUGAUUAAGAAUCAAAUCCAUUACUGCUAAUAAUAUAAACAUUCUAAAAUCAAUUUUUCAUACACGCCAUUGCAAGGAUAAAUAAAUAAUAUAAAAUCAAAAUUUAUUUUAUUGCGGAAAAAUUUGUCCUUACAAUGCAAUUCAUUGAAAAACUAUGCUAAUACAUCUUUCUUAGCAAUCUAAUUCUAACUCUAAGUAGUAGCUCAAGAAUCUAAUCUUCGAGAAAUGCGAUCGAAAUCCAUUCCUUCACGGUUAGAUUCUGCUCACUUCUUCCCUUAAGCUUCCUUUCUUUUCUUCGAUCCUACAAAACAUCAAUUGUAAUCUUAUCACAUUAUGUAUUAAGAAUCUAGAAUAGAAGCUUAAAAGAGUUAGUCAAUGGAUUUUACCUAAAGCAGAGCCAUACGUUUUGACUCUCCCAUCUCUUAGAUCUCUUAGGUAAAUAGGGCAGCUUCGUCUCCAAUGCCCCUUCUCUUGGCAAUAAAAGCAAAUUGACUCUUUUGGAACAGGACAUGGAACUACUUCAGACAUUGCCUUUCUCUUAUGAUCAAACUUUUCGAUCAUAGCAUGUCUUUCGUUGCCAUUGUCUAUAUCCAUAGAGGUCUUGAAGGCAGAUUCACCAAUCAACUUUGCUUUUCUAUUGCGCCAAACCAUUGCUGAUUCAGCAGCAAUAAGCAUAUAGGUGAGAUCUAUAAGGGUCACGUCGCGGUUCAUCAUAUAGUACUCUCUUACGAACUCACUAUAUGAGUUAGGAAGUGACUGAAGAACCCAAUCAACAGCCAUUUCCUCACAGACAACGGAUCCCAACAUUCUUAACCUAUCAAUGUGUGACUUCAUCCCUAGGACGUGUGCACACACCGACUUUCCUUCUUUAUGUUUACUUGCCAAAAGGGCUUGAGUGAUCUUGAACUUUUCAAGCCUUUGAACUUGUGGGUUAGGGAGAAUAAUUGGAGGAGGUGGAGGAAGUGAAGCAUGAUUUCUUGUUCCUCGAUCGAAUCGUGGAAUAUCAUCUUCAUGUGGAAUGCUUGUUCCACGGGAUUUGGGAAGACCAUAGUUGUCGAACUUUGACAUCUACAAAACGGGAGAAAACGAAUUCAAGUUAGUUGAUUGAUUGAGUCCUUAGUAAAUCACCCAAAUGAGAUACUAAGGCUAGGACCCAACACAAUAUGCUACAACCUAGAAAAGGGAUGUCGUAAUCUAGUUGCAGAAUAUUUGAAGGUAAGUGAAUGACGAUUCACUAAUUUCCACCAUGAAAAACGAAAAAGAAAUUUAAGUUUUAAAUCUAUGAAAACUCCUAGAUCCUUUGAGAUUCAUUGAACCUUUCAAUGGCAUGUUUAAAUCUCGAUAUGCCCCUCUAGUUUGUGACUGGGAUGCCGAGGAUCACAAAGCGGGUGUGAAUAACCAUGCAAACUUACAUGGUGCCCUCACAUGUUACAGUCACCUAUUCGAUGUGCCGGUAAACCACACACGCUCCACCGAACUAUGACAAACAUUGAGUCACCCUUUGCUACCUUUGCUUAGAACCAUUUAGUGUGCCGGUUAACCACACACGCUCCACUAACGUCUUUGCAAGGGCACAAAGUGUAAUUUCAUGGAAUUGCAUCAAUUCACUUUUGCCUAAGUAACUAAGAUUGGGAAUUUGUAAAACAUUUAGUUACUUUUGUACUUCAUUAUACUUAUAAUGGAAGGUUUUGUCCUAUCCUACCCGUUCGGCUAACGACCCUCCACUAGUCAAGAGUGCGGUGGGUAAGAGUGGAUACCCAUUAUACUUAUAAAAGUGACCCUCUUGAACUCAACUACCGCAACCUUCUCUUUACUACCGCAACGGUUUAGCACCCGGAGUCAAUUCUACAACUGUA
rnacentral:lncRNA from 1 species